AGGCCUCACGGUGUGGUUCAUGUCUAGCAUACAUCGCUCUAUGUGAAUUUCUCGUCAAUAUAGAAUGUUUGGCGAUAUAACCAGGCUUGUAGGCAUUUUGUUGUGGCAUAUAUGCUUACUCAAACCAGUUGGAUAUGGAAUUGGCCCAGCUGCGCAAGGAGAACCAGAUGCUCAUCCAGCGGCACAGGGAUCUCAUAAACGUAAGUAUGCACAUUUAAUUGACUGAUGAGUUCCUCAGCCUUACUCUAUGCCAAUAUUUAACUUAGGAAAUGUGUUAAAUUUCUACUCAAAUGAAUAGAAAUUUUGGAUGGUUAUGUCUAACCAGCUGGUAUGACUAGGAAAAUAACUAAUAUUAUUUGGUUUGUGUAGCUGCACCUCUAAAUUACAAACCUCUUUUUUGUAACCACUCUGUAAUUGCCUUUAAAUAAAUUUAUUGGUAUUAUACUAUUAUCAAUGUUACACAAUUGCAUGGCCUGUAUUUUAUGUCCAUUUUAAUCCUUCUUAGGAAAUAUAUGUGAUCCUUUUUGGUCAAAAAAUAUAUGUGAUCCUUGCAUAAAAACCAAUAUUAGGUUUUGUGGGUCUCAAUUUCUCGAGAUUACAAGGAGCAUCGCAAUUAAAUGGUAGGAGUUUUGCAGCAUAGUUUUUGAUUUCGACUAAUGUCUUUGUCAGAUUAAAUCCAAUUUCCUCUUUGCAGGAUAGAUAAAUAUUUUACUCCGCAUGUCUUGACUAUGGAAUGAAAGACAAAAAUGUCUAUUGGCCAUUCCCUGGCAAAAUCUACACUGCCCAUAUAAUAUUCAUUUUGAGUGCUUAAA